rnacentral:lncRNA from 1 species
CCAUAUCUCCAUCAUUCAAAUUUUAAGGAUCCAUCCACAAUUGUAGGCUUUCUAAAACUAAUUGUCUCUAUAAAUUCAUUAUUCUCGGAUAAUCCAAUUGCACGAGCAAUUUUACCGACCAAUUGAUUAAAACUUAUUCGUUUACCCAUUGGAAUAAUCUUUGAAAAACCUCCAUCAUAGUCGUAACCAUUACAACUAUUUAUAAUAUUACC